rnacentral:rRNA from 1 species
CUGGGCUUAAGCGUGUGUAGGCGGGUCCGUAAGUACCUUGUGAAAUCCCACGGCUCAACCGUGGAACUGCUUGGUAUACUGCGGGUCUUGAGCCACUUAGGGGCAAGCGGAACAAACGGUGGAGCGGUGAAAUGCGUAGAUAUCGUUUGGAACGCCAAUGGUGAAAACAGCUUGCUGGGAGUGUACUGACGCUGAGACACGAAAGCCAGGGGAGCAAACGGGAUUAGAUACCCCGGUAGUCCUGGCCGUAAACGAUGUCGACUAGAUCGCGGUGGCUCCGACGCCAUCGCGGUCGAAGCAAAAGUGCUAAGUCGACCGCCUGGGAAGUACGGUCGCAAGGCUAAAACUCAAAGGAAUUGACGGGGGCUCACACAAGCGGUGGAGCAUGUGGUUCAAUUCGAAGCAACGCGCAGAACCUUACCUGGGCUUGACAUGCUAGGAUUAUCCUCAUGAAAGUGAGGUAGGCCCCGCAAGGGGUACAACUAGUACAGGUGCUGCAUGGCUGUCGUCAGCUCGUGUCGUGAGAUGUCGGGUUAAGUCCCUUAACGAGCGAAACCUUUACCCUUAGUUACCAGCGGGUUAUGCCGGGGACUCUAAGGGGACUGCCGGUGUCAAACCGGAGGAAGGU